AGAUUGAACGCUGGCGGCAUGCCUUACACAUGCAAGUCGAACGGUAGAGUAGCAAUACUUGAGAGUGGCGAACGGGUGAGUAAUAUAUCGGAACGUGCCCAGUCGUGGGGGGAUAACGUAGAGAAAUUUACGCUAAUACCGCAUACGAUCUAAGGAUGAAAGCGGGGGACCGUAAGGCCUCGCGCGAUUGGAGCGGCUGAUAUCAGAUUAGGUUGUUGGUGAGGUAAAAGCUCACCAAGCCGACGAUCUGUAGCUGGUUUGAGAGAACGACCAGCCACACUGGGACUGAGACACGGCCCAGACUCCUACGGGAGGCAGCAGUGGGGAAUUUGGACAAUGGGCGAAAGCCUGAUCCAGCAAUGCCGCGUGCAGGAAGAAGGCCUUCGGGUUGUAACUGUCUUUAGUACGGAACGAAACGGUCUGCUUUAAUACAGUGGACUAAGUGUAACGGUACCGUAAGAAUAAGACACCGGACUAACUACGUGACCGAGCAGCCGACGGUAAUCGUAGA
rnacentral:rRNA from 1 species